AUGUCUUCAAAUAGGAGAAAUUAUGAAGUGAAUUGGAAGGAGAUAGGAGGUUAAAAAUUAUUGAAGGUGGUGUUUUACUGCCAAUUGAAGAUCAAUUUCAUCUGUUAUAUGGUUUAAUGGUAGGACUGAACAAAAUACCUUUGCAUGCACUGUCUACCAUAUUGAGAAAACCAGGAGCAUGAGCCAUCAAGAGACUGUAAUCAUCAUUAAUAAUUGAAUCUACUUGCAAGUCAUCAACAAUACCUCAGUGAUAUUAAUAAUACAUAGUUAUUUUUAAUAAAAUUAAAUUUCAAAUAUUAUUGGUAUGUAUAUUUUCUCUCUUUUAUAUUUCCUCUCCUUUGUUUCCUUCACCUUUGGAGUUUAAAUUAAAAUUCUCAUGUUGAGAAUAUUUCCAGAACAGUCUUAAAGGUACUUGCUUAAUGCUUCAGCCUUCAAGUAAUACUGUCACAUUUUUCCACGUGGGUAAUGAUGUCACUUCCUGCGAAAAGAGCAUGUGACCAUCCAGUCUUGCCCUGUUUCCAAUCCAUUUCCUCCCUCCCACCCCCAUGUGUCUCCCUUUCUCUCUGUCCCUCUCUAUCUCACACUGGAGCUCCAUCAAUAAAGUCUUGUGUAAUGAAUACAACAUUUCAAAACUCCUCUCAUCAAAAAAUAUUUUUCAGUCCUAA